rnacentral:rRNA from 1 species
CCGCGGUAUCUUGACCGUGCAAAGGUAGCAUAAUCAUUUGCCUUUUAAUUGAAGGCUAGUAUGAAAGGACAAACAAGAAUAAAACUGUCUCACUCGAACUAUUUAUAAACUGUUAUUAAGGUGCAGAAUCCUUAAUUCUUUUAAAAGACAAGAAGACCCUAUAGAGCUUUAUUAAUAUAAGUUAUAAAACUUACAUAUUAAUUUGGUUGGGGCAACCAAAAGACACAAAUACCUCUUUUCUAUAUAAUAAUACACCCACCCAGCACUGAAAUAGAAUUUAAGCUACCUUAGGGAUAACAGGCUAAUCCUACUAGAGAGACCACAUUGACAGUAGGGGUUGGCACCUCGAUGUUGGCUUAGUGUAACUAUUAGGCGCAGCCGCUUAAUUUAGUUGGUUUGUUCAACCAUUAAAACACU